rnacentral:rRNA from 1 species
GAGUUUGAUCGUGGCUCAGAGCGAACGCUGGCGGCAGGCCUAACACAUGCAAGUCGAACGCCCCUUCGGGGGAGUGGCGGACGGGUGAGUAACGCGUGGGAAUGUGCCCUUUGGUACGGAACAACUGAGGGAAACUUCAGCUAAUACCGUAUGUGCCCUACGGGGGAAAGAUUUAUCGCCAUUGGAGCAGCCCGCGUUGGAUUAGGUAGUUGGUGGGGUAAAGGCCUACCAAGCCUACGAUCCAUAGCUGGUCUGAGAGGAUGAUCAGCCACACUGGGACUGAGACACGGCCCAGACUCCUACGGGAGGCAGCAGUGGGGAAUCUUGCGCAAUGGGCGAAAGCCUGACGCAGCCAUGCCGCGUGUAUGAUGAAGGUCUUAGGAUUGUAAAAUACUUUCACCGGGGAAGAUAAUGACGGUACCCGGAGAAGAAGCCCCGGCUAACUUCGUGCCAGCCGCCGCCGU